UACGAAGGGGGCUAGCGUUGCUCGGAAUGACUGGGCGCAAAGGGCGCGUAGGCGGAUGGCACAGUCAGAUGUGAAAUUCCCGGGCUUAACCUGGGGGCUGCAUUUGAUACGUGUUGUCUUGAGUUCGGAAGAGGGUCGUGGAAUUCCCAGUGUAGAGGUGAAAUUCGUAGAUAUUGGGAGGAACACCGGUGGCGAAGGCGGCUCACUGGCUCAUUACUGACGCUCAGGCGCGACAGCGUGGGGAUCAAACAGG
rnacentral:rRNA from 1 species